rnacentral:rRNA from 1 species
CAGUAGCCGCGGUAAUACGAGGGGGGCAAGCGUUGUUCGGAAUUAUUGGGCGUAAAGGGUGCGUAGGCGGUUUGACAAGUCUUAUGUGAAAUCUUUGGGCUCAACCCAAAGUCCGCAUGAGAAACUGUUGAGCUUGAGUAUGGGAGAGGUGAGUGGAAUUUCCGGUGUAGCGGUGAAAUGCGUAGAUAUCGGAAGGAACACCUGUGGCGAAAGCGGCUCACUGGACCAUUACUGACGCUGAGGCACGAAAGCUAGGGGAGCAAACAGGAUUAGAUACCCCCGUAGUCCCUGUCUCUUAUAC